rnacentral:rRNA from 1 species
UGUCGUCAGCUCGUGUCGUGAGAUGUUGGGUUAAGUCCCGUAACGAGCGCAAACCCUUGUCCUUAGUUACCAGCACGUAAUGGUGGGAACUCUAAGGAGACUGCCGGUGACAAACCGGAGGAAGGUGGGGAUGACGUCAAGUCAUCAUGGCCCUUACGGCCAGGGCUACACACGUGCUACAAUGGUCGGUACAAAGGGUUGCNAAGCCGCGAGGUGGAGCUAAUCCCAUAAAACCGAUCGUAGUCCGGAUCGCAGUCUGCAACUCGACUGCGNGAAGUCGGAAUCGCUAGUAAUCGUGAAUCAGAAUGUCA